GCCACUUUUACGAUUGGGCCAGUACUGCGUUUAAAGACCUUUCACAUUAGCGCCAUCUACCUUUGCAUGCAAAUACUUACUAGCCAUGGUAAUAAACUUUUCACGUCACUUUUAGCAAGUCUCAGUGAAAUGCGCAAUUUGUACAGAUGUGUUUUGUAAAUGUAAGCUAAAGAUUAAAAGGAAAACUUGUUUGUGGUGUCCGAAAAAGUGAAAUAAAAAAAAGAAGGAGAUGCAAACAAUAAAACCAACUUCGAGAAGAAAGAGAAAAACCAACCGCGGGAAUUUUGUUUUGCUUGACGUAGUACCAGCAUAAACUUUAUUGCGCAAAAAAUACUAUUUUAACAAAUGCUACUUCACAUAGACGGUGACGCCCUCAAUUAUGGGAAAAUGUUGCACUGGAAAAGAUGUUUCCAACCAUACGUGAGAAAAUCCGAAAUUCAGUUUAGAACGGAAGUUAUGGCCACAAAUCAAAAGGUGGCCCAACUGUACUGACUCUCCCCUAUAAAAUUCUUAUUCAUUUUGAUACUACCUCUUCUCUACUUAAUUUUGUUAAACUAAGUUAGAGGAUUAGAUUAAGAAAUUGUUAUUAGUUGUUAGAAAAAAUUAAAUAUUAAAG